rnacentral:pre_miRNA from 1 species
UUUUAAAGUGGCAGCGCAGCAUGGAGCCCAGGAUCUGAGUCCUCCGCUGACCCCGGGCUCCAUGCUGUGCUGCUGCUUUGAAA